rnacentral:tmRNA from 1 species
GGGGGCGACAGGCUUCGACGUAGGUCCUAAAACCUGAGACGCAUGCCGAGCCGGCGACGUAGGCUCGUAAAUCAAUCAGUUGCAAAAAAAUAGUUGCAAACGAUAGCAAUUAUCUCCAAGAAGCUUACGCAUAAUGCUUCUUCCGUUGUUAGGAUUCGCUUAUAGGUCCUUAUCAGCGGUCAUAUAUGUAGGCUCUGCCUUACAUCAUAGCCCAAUGAUUUAAAGGCAAGUCAAAUAAAAGGGCUCGCUGUCAAUUUUCUCUGCACGUCGAGUAGUUGUCAGUCAAAUAAUAGACGCUGCUAAGCAUGUAGAAUCAAAGGUGAGUUAGACUUGCGGACGCGGGUUCAAUUCCCGCCGCCUCCACAC